CAGAGGGACCCGGUCAGCCCCGUGAGGGGACGGGCCCCUCAGGGCUGCUCCCUGCGCUCGGGAGCCGCGGGGAGCGUGGCUGGAGUACUUUUUAAAAUAAUCGUGGGUUUUGUUUGUUUUUUAAUUUUAUUUUUUUCCACUAGGUGGCAGUAAAAUAAAGUCCGUGCGUCGUGAGGGGAAGGCAGUGCCCCCCACAGCUCAAUGAGGGCCUGUGGUACGGCAGCGCUUGCCGCAGGAAGGGCAGCGGUAAAACACCUCACACCGCCUGGCGUUAAAACACGCCGUGACGAACUAUUGCAUAAAGUGCAGCGUUACACAAAAGCGAGGCCGAGACGGGCAAAACCCGCUUGGCGGGGACACGGACAGGCAGUGUACACCAGGACACCUUUCACUCCACAUCUCCAAGGCACUCAGAAGACAUAUCCAAAUGCUGAGGCUUUGCAGCAGUUCCCUUCCAUACCUUGCCCGGCAGUUCCUGCUGUACUGCCUAACUGUGCGGCUCUGAGAGCGAAAAUGGUUAGGGUUACUGCUUAAACAGAAAGGGAAAAAUAGCUCUUUGUCUUCUCCGCAGGAAGAAUCAGCUCCACGGCCUCCUGUAAGGGAGAAACCCCUCAGUAAAACCUGUCACUGGGCUUGGGCUUCAAAGGAAGGCUUCAGUAAGAGAGCGGAGCAAAUAUAUAGGGAGUGUUACCUAGGCUUCCUGAGGAGCAGAGUGGCUGUGAACAUGUGGGUGUGUUUGAAAGCUGCGGUUAUACAUAAACUUAGUCCUGAAAGAGGGUAGGUUGCAGGAAUCAGGCUUACAGAAAUCUCACCAUUCUUCAUAAAAUGGGAGAAUUAUGGAGAAAAAUGUGUAUGUGUCAGGAAACAUUCUUCUGGUCUAAAUGGCAAAGUUUUUCAGAGCUGUGCGCCCCAGGUUGUUUCCUCUCACAUCUCCUGCAGAGAGGCGGCGAAGGCUUCUUCCUCCCCUCCUCACCUCUUUUUCAAUUUCCCAGCUUUUAGGGGAAGGACAAAAAAAUGUGCCCUGGACAACCAGGUGGGAUGAGAGAGCAUGAGAGUGUUUAUAUGGCAGUCAUGAAAGCAGAUCCUUAGUCCCCCUAAGAUCCAUCAUACUGCAGAAGCAGCCCUGCUGGUAUUUGGCCCAAAGUGGAAAACCGACAUAAAAGAUGAAUGAACUGAGCCUGCAAUAUUUUUGAAAAAUAUCUGUAAUCGGGCAAAGUGCCAGCCAGCAACUGGUUUGUUGGAAUGCGAGCCAGAACCCAUCUGAAGAUUGUACACCAAAGGACGAUGCUGCUGGCUAGAUGUUAAGACGUACACGUACUAUUGGGAUAGCAAACAUUUCUGUGUACAGCGACUGAUCUCUCUGGCACUGGGAAGAAGAGAAAAAAAAAAAAACCCUCAUACUCCAGUAACAGCACCAUCGCAGCCGCAAGUUUUUUCUGAUUACUGGGGCAAAGCCACUUGGUGCUUGCUCUGAUGCUUCCUUCAGCAGUGCACACGGCCAACGGCAACGCGUGUGAGAGCUGAUGGGGGCUCCUCUGUGCGCCAGAACUGGAGGCGUUCUGCCUUGAGAUUCACAAACUGCUGGCUCCAGGAGUGAACGCAGCAAAUGUAUUCCUGCGGCAAAAUCUGUAUCAGAACUGUAACUUGAAAAUCCAGCUGUUGCCUCCAGCAGCCGGGAGCACCUGCAGCGCCCAGAGGAAGGUGACAGUCCUGUCCCCAGCAGGCAGUGCCAGAAGCUGCCCGUCACCGAGCUCACUGCCUGACGUUGUGGCAGGCUGCUUUAGGACAGAGAUUUUCCCCUGGAAAAUGAAUAAUUUAUCACAGGAUGCUUGCUAUUCAAGUAAAAGCAAAAGAAGGAAAUAGAGAGUUUACACAACUUGAAUCAAGAGUGCUGUGGUAAACAUUUACACUUAUAACCCCACGGAUUGGCCUUAUACAACCUUUAUUUUACUCUACAAGAGCAAACUCAGUGGAACAGCUUCUAUUUUUGCUGAAAGUUAAGCUGCAAAAUCAGCAACGGCAGGUUCUCAGAAAGGCGGAGUGCUGAUCCAGCGCCCCUUAAUAGGGCUCAGCUUUGGAAAGCACCGAGAGCCACUGCAAACGAAUUUUGCAGAAGGCCACGAACAUCACAAGGAUCAGUGCUUUGAACAUCCAGCUUCACCAAAGGCAAUGAGGGAGCCACAAGAAGAUUGCAACUCACUUGCAAGAUGCAACACCUGGCAUUGCUCAGAUUGCUGCUCAACUCUGUGUGAAACCUUACCUUCAUUAAUCGCACACUUGAGCAUCACCGACUCGAUUUAGGCAUCUGUAAGCAUCUGUAUUGUAUGAAUUCACAGGUUUCUAACAACAAGGAUAGUGCACUUGCUAAUUUGUAACAGAUGGUACCAAGUUAAAAACCCAAUUCUGACAAGUCCUUCUCCCAGCACCACCAGCUUCAUAAACUUAAGUACAUGUAAUGAAUGUUCAAAAUAGGAGUUGGGAGAAGGUGAGAGAAUAUAGGGCCUAAAGCAGAAGAAACUGCUUCUUAAGUGAACUGUUUCCACAGAGACAUUGGGGCAAUAAACAAGUUAAAUAUUUCAUUAAAACUACCGAAUUCUGAAUGGUUCUUUUAGUGGUUAUUCUGAUCACUAGUCUGCAACUGGAACCGUAGAAAUCAACUUGACAAGGAUUUGCUCCGUGUCUCAAAUUAUGUUUGGCAUAUCUCAGUACAGGACUGUAUAUUCAGCCUUUCAGUGCAUUUCAGAAGAUCUAAGUGCUAUUUCCAUUUUCUUUCCAGAUCUUGCUCACAAUUCUCCUUCAGCACAGACAAAUUUAAUUAUCGAUUGCUUAGAAAUGGACCACUAGAAGUGAGGACCCCGGACAAGGCUGGAGCGGGCGGAUGAGCGCAUCAAUUCAGAACAGCCCCUCAGCGAGGAGACCGUCCACAGAUGUUCAGGAUUCAAAAACUGCUCCCGUAACGCAAAGCGGAAGCAAGACGAGAUAACAGCAACAUAAUUUGCCCUGAAUCCUUCUUCGGCUGCAAAAGAUCUAAUGGCCCAGGGCGGUAUCAUUUGUACUCCUACUGUCUGCGCACUGGUAAAUCUGAACUUUCUUUGACAGUCUUAUUUUUUUCAUUUAUCUUUAAACUGCUACACGGUUAUAUAUUUGGGGGGAUUGGGAGGUAUA